GAUGCAAAAUUCAUAUAAAAGUACAUUUCUGUUUAAUUCCAUUGACUGCUUUGAUGUAAAUCAACAAGUCAGCAUUGUAGUUGAACUAUUCUUAAAUUACAAAUUGUUAUUAUUUCAUGCACUACUAGGGAUGCACCGAUAUGAAAUGUUGGUCCGAUAACCGAUAACAUGUUAUAUUUGAAAGCCGAUAACCGAUACAUGCCAAUAAAUACAAAGCCUGAGUCUGAUUACAAAAACAAAAAGCAAAUAAAUACAGUGGACAACUGCUUUUAUUGAAACCUUAAUGGUAUAAAACAAUAAACAGAUUUCUUAAAUUUUACAAUGAAUCAUACAUUCCUAUGGCCGACUUUUAUAUACAUAAAAUAUAUUGCUUGACAGAAAAAAUAAGUAGUUUCACGGGUGGAAAUAAUCCAUAGAUUAGCUUUAAUUUAUCCACCACAUUUUCUUAUUGGACCGAUAAUACGAUAUACUCAAGUACUCAGAUCCUCAAACUAGACUUACAUCCCAAAACAGUAAAAUAUAAAAGGACACAGUAAUUAGUCAUCAGGAAAGUCUAGAACAAACUGAGGAUUAAAGCUGGGGUUGGCAAGUUUUGCGAAGCUAGCUAUUUUUACUUUUGUUUGACACGAUUCAAACCAAAAUAUCCCACCCCUUCCUUCAAAGCCACUCCCACAAAACUACAGUGAUGCGCAUUGAAUGCAGGGGCAGAGUGCGCGCAGGUAGGUAGACAGGUAGCCCGUCUUAUCAUUUGUCAAUAUACAGAUUAAUGAUUGGUCUUAUUUAUUACAGUUUUGCGACGCUCACAUGUCGGAUUGAUUUCAUAUUACUGUCAAACCUUUAGAUGUAUUUGUUGCUAUCAAGGUGUGAAAUUUGAUAAAAAAUGCUUUUCAAAUACAUUAGAUACCCUGCAUUUAAGCUUAAUCUGUAUUUCUUCACAGGUUAAAGAUGGAGAGAAAGUGUCUACUUCUCUGUUUUGUGUCACUGCUGCUCUUUCCACUGGCUACAGCCUCUGGUAACCUCACCCUCACCUCAGAAGACCUCCCCCUCAACACAGAAGACAACCUCCCCCUCAAUAGAGUUGACCUCCCUGUCCUUAACACAAUCAAUGACCUAAAAAAUGUUGACUUUGGCCACACAUUCCCUCGGCAUGGCCUGUCUUUGCUUCACUAUAUUGCACAUUUUUUACAAGUUGACAAUAACAACAAUAUAUGGGCAGAUUUCAAUCCAAGAAGGAAUGACUUUGGUUUUCAUGAAUAUCGCAACUAUGAAAACAUAUUUCCACCCAUUUUCAACCAGAACAGCGGGGCCUACUACAGUUUGGGAAAUAUUAGCCCUGGAAGUUCUGGUAACCUUUCACUCCCUCCUUACGUUACAUGGGCCUCAUAUCAAACCAAUAACCUAAAUAGAAACAGAGACCGGAUUGUUGUACAAUUGAACGCGUUCACACAUCAAGUUCAGGAUAUAUACAUAACACAGCACAUCUACAACAGCAAUCAGUAUGACCCCAGCCAGACCUACCGCAUCAGUGUCAACCUCCUGAGAGAGAUUCAGCUACUUCUGAUAAACGUGCCGUUCAAUUAUAAUGCGUUCCUGACCCUAGCUGGCUACGUUUGGCCGUUCUUCAGCGACAACAAUAACUGCUUCAUUGGUGGAAUGAGAAAACUUGUCUUGGAGGACACAUCUUCAGACAAUCCUCUCUCAGCUUUAGAGCCUGCCAGACAAAAGCAGUGCGCUGAUAUCAAGCUGCAGGUGCGCACUACAUACAAUGGCUACGCUCGAAUGAGAUGGGUCAACAUCCCUUCAAACCUGCUAGACGUGGGCACAAAGUUGGAGCUGUACAAAGACACCUACGUUUUAAAAUCAAUCCCUAUUGAGGAGCACAGUUACGGAUUUUACGACACCAAUCAGUACCUGAACCCUGGACUGCAGGUCCGACUCGUGACCAAGGCUGAUAUCAUCAUCAGCCAGAGCCCCAAGCUGGACGAUGCAUACUGGAGCUUCCCCACUAACAUCCCUGAUUAUGAGGCCAGUCUGCAGCUGUACACAAAGGACGGCUGGGCCUCCGCUCGUCUCUACAUUCAGAAAUCCUUUACUGAUUGGAAAAACACUUUUUAUUACUCAUGGGUUGGAUUUUACAACUCAGACAAACAAGGUCAUAAACAAUACUUUACGUACCAGUGGGCAAUUUAUUUCACUCAACGGAGCUUCAACUCUGAUUAUGACGUCUAUGAAUAUCAAUCAAACAUGUGUAUGUCACCUGGGGCACAGGCACGCUUUUUCCUUACUAAAGAAUAUGAAUAUCUGGCAGUAACUGUACCAUGGGAGAGUGAAAACUUUUAAAACAGGAAGUGUCUAGUGUUCCUAUCCUCUAUUCUUUAAUGAAUUAUGAUGCUCAUCAAAAGCCUAAAUCAAUGAAUGAUUUCAUAAAUAGUUUAUCUUGAUUAUUAUCAACACUGGACAAUGGAACACUGGCCUGUUCCAAAUCAUUACCUGUCCAGGCAUCAAACUGAACAGACAAUCAUGAUACUUCAUUUUUGGUAAACAACUUUUAUUGUAUUCUGGUUGGAUAGUUAUUAAGAUUGAGGGCAGAGCAAGCCUUGUGUAGACUGUUUCUAUGUCGGACCCAGAUUGCCCAUACGGUAGGAAUGGCCUUGUUUGUGUGUGAUAGAAAACACAGUGCCAUAUCCUCAUGGAAGAUGCUAGAGUGAACAUAGGAGAUGUUACCGCGGUUGCAGGGGAUGCAUUUGCACCACCUACUGUUGGGAUGAAAACAUUUAGAUUUUCAAAUUAAUGUAAAAAAACGAUUAAAUGAUUUUAGAAAAAAAAAAUUGACGUCAGAGUUGUUUGUUCUAUUAUGGUUUGUUGUACUCUAAUAAUGAAUUAAACAGUUUAAGAUCUAUUAUUAGUUUUGAGCAUGUUUCCUGUAAGCAAAACAAAUUCACUACUCUUUGCACUCCCAGUUCUAAAACCUAUGACAGUGAAGAUCGAGAUUAGCUCGUCUUCUGGGGGACCAAUGUGUAUUUGUGUUUUAGAAAUUAAAAGAAAUUAUUUCUCAAAAUAUUUAAGAGUUAUAUUGUAUGAUAUUUAUGUUAAUUUAAUCCUUUACUUUAAGACAAAUUAAAUAGAGGUAAGAUGCUAUUAAAUCUUUUUUGACCAAAUAUUUGCAUUGUUUGUGGUGCAAAGUAUCCAAAGUAUUCUUAAAAAGACAUAUUAUACUAAACACGUCAUGGACGUCAUCAGAGUUACAUAUCUGGAUACUGAAAUCAAUUGCCCACUGAUACUUUGCAUAUGAAGUAGCAACACUUUUGUCUAAUAUUUGUUUCAUGUGAGGUAACAGUAGUGGGCCUUGCAGAGAGCAUGCACACCUGUACAUAUCAAAACAAAUAGGGUUUUGACAUGACAAUAUACAAUUCAGCAAUAAGGUACGAGAGGCAGUAAUUUAUCGUCAAUAAAGUGUUCCAGGGCGUUGUUAGGCCCGACGCGCAGCGCUUCAGGAACUCCCUCUCAACCAAUCAGAAUGCUUGAUUUCAUCCACCCGUAUUAUAAUUCUGAUUAUAAUACGAGUGGAUGAAAUCAAGCAUCUGAGGAGAGUUGGAAUGGUGUGUGUUCCACUACAGCCUACCGCUUUCCACACUUUUAGUGACAGUGCACUAUUGUUGAGGAAUCAAUUAGCCUAGUAUUUCUCAACAGAUCUACAAGAGUUCUACAGUUUUUCAGUCCUUGCUUGACGCUAACGACUGUUACUAAUACUUACUUAUACGCACUUCUCGUCCUAAAAUAGUUGCUGCACUUUGUAGCGUUUUGGAGAUUUGUUUGGGGGGGCCAAAUGGAAAAACGUAGCUUCAGCUGAGUGAAUAAAAGGUGAAACUGGCCUUUAUUUAAAGUGAAGCAACGCCAGGCCAUUCACGCCUUUCCUUGACGAGGAAGUGAAUACUUGUUAAUAUUUGGCUUGUCCAGACAAUGGAAAUGUACUUUUUGAACUGCGCACUUCUCGUCCUAAAAUAUUUGCUGCAAUAUUUGCUGAAAAAAAUGUGUUUGCCAAAUGUAAAAUGUACAAUACAGUUCAGGCAUAAUCAGCUAUGUGUAGGCCAAGGCCUACUGUGGUGAGCCAACCCUCAUGUUAGAAUUCACCUUCAGCUGAGUGAAUGUGAAGUGAAACUGGCCUUCUUUUAAGAGGAAGUUGAUACCUGAUAAUAUUUGGCUUGUCCAGACAAUAUAAAUGUACUCUUGACAUAUCGUUUUAUAAUCUGAAUAAAUACACUGUGUGUUGAAGACAGACCGAGGGUGAUGGUGUUUUGUCGUGUCAAUGUAAGUCUGUUCAUGCUUUUUUUUUCAAGUUUAAGUGUGAGCACAGCCCAUAGAUUAGGUCACUAGGUAAACAUUUUGUGCCAGUAAAAAUAUGCAGAGCAAAAUUCUAUCCUGCCAAGGUGGGAUGACCAUGGCUCAGGGGGUAGAAAAGGUCACCCGCUAACUGCCAGGUCGGUGGUUCGAUCCCUGAUUCCUCCUGGCCAUGUGUGGAAGUGUAUUUGAGCAAGGCACUGAACCCUGAGUCUCUCCUGAUUGGCUGGCUAGCGCCUGGCAUGGCAGCUCUGUCCAUGGGUGAAUUAGAGGCAACUGGAAAGUGCUUUGGGUGUGCCGUUAAAUGCCGUCCAUUUACCAAGUCAUCCUAUUAAACUUCAAGGGCUAAGAUAAGAUAAAUGUGUCUAAGAUAUUGUAGGUUAUUUAGUAAGAUAAACAAUGCAUAUGUGGAGGACAACCAAAAACAAAACUCUAUUUGCAAUUAUGGUUACCAUUGAAUGAAAAGAACAUUGCAUAGGCUAAAUGCUGAGCAGCAUUUAGCACUACUCUGUUUGGGGCAAUCUCGUUGUUAUGAUCAGUGACCUAUGCACUUUUGUAAAGCUCUCUUUUGGACAGCGCUGAUUGGACCAUUGGAUUGGACACGGAAGAUAGAAACCACAUCUAGUAGGAACAAGAUAGGCUAUAGUGCGAAAUCACACAACAAUUGCUUGGAUCAUGACUAAAAAGAAUGUUGAUUUUGGUUUCGGUCCAAAUUGUAUUGCGUCCGGGUCCGGAUCCGCCCUACAGUGUUUGCUCUCACAGAGAUAGAUCUAUGACGGUACUUUCUGCUAAAUAUAUCUUGAUUACAAAAAAUAUUUGCAAACGUGUCAUUUGGCUUGUCCAGACAAUAGAAAUGUACUCCUGAGAUAGAGUUUACAGUAAAGUAAAUGCCAUAGGACAAAGGUCAAGGCUCAUUAAUCUCAAGGAAAUAAGUUUCAGAUAAUAGUCUUUUCAUGGAACUAUGGCCUGGCAAGGGGGUGUUCCAUCAAAUAUUGGUGUAAUGAUAGGCUGUGUUCAGAGCUUAAAGGGAGUUGAGAAGAUGCUGAAAUGCAUCAUUGGUUCACCAGAAACAGGUUGAAGAUGGAGAGAAAGUGUCUACUUGUCUGUUUUGUGUCACUGCUGCUCUUCCCACUGGCCACAGUCUCUGGUAUCCUCCCCCUCAACACAGACAACCUCCCCCUCAACACAGACAACCUCCCCCUCAACACAGACAACCUCCCCCUCAACACAGACAACCUCCCCCUCAGCAGAGACAACCUACCCCUCAACAGAGAUGACCUCCCCCUCAACACAGACAACCUACCCCUCAACAGAGAUGACCUCCCCCUAAAGAGAGACAACCUACCCCUCAACAGAGAUGACCUCCCCCUAAAGAGAGACAACCUACCCCUCAACAGAGAUGACCUCCCCCUAAAGAGAGACAACCUACCCCUCAACAGAGAUGACCUUCCCCUCAGAAGACACAACCUCCCCCUCAACAGAGAUGACCUCCCCCUAAAGAGAGACAACCUCACCCUCAACAGAGAUGACCUCCCCCUAAAGAGAGACAACCUCACCCUCAACAGAGAUGACCUCCCCCUCAACACAGACAACCUCCCCCUCAACAGAGAUGACCUCCCCCUGAAGAGAGACAACCUCCCCCUCAACAGAGAUGACCUCCCCCUCAACAGAGAUGACCUCCCCCUCAACACAGACAACCUCCCCCUCAACAGAGAUGACCUCCCCCUGAAGAGAGACAACCUCCCCCUCAACAGAGAUGACCUCCCCCUCAACAGAGAUGACCUCCCCCUCAACACAGACAACCUCCCCCUCAACAGAGAUGACCUCCCCCUGAAGAGAGACAACCUCCCCCUCAACAGAGACGACCUCCCCCUCCGACUCAUGACCAAGGAUGAUAUCAUCAGCCAGAUUCCCAAGCUGGACGAUGCAUACUGGAGCUUCCCCACUAACAUCCCUGAUUAUGAGGCCAGUCUGCAGCUGUACACAAAGGACGGCUGGGCCUCCGCUCGUCUCUACAUUCAGAAAUCCUUUAUUGAUUGGAAAAACACUUUUCGUAACUCGUGGGUUGGAUUUUACCAAUCAGACGAACAAGGUAAUAAAAAAUACUCUAGGUACCAGUGGGCAACUUCUUUCACUCAACGGAGCUUCAACUUUGAUUAUGGUUAUGACGUCUAUGAAUAUCAAUCAGACAUGCCUAUGUCACCUGGGGCACAAGCACGCUUUUUCCUUACUAAAGAAUAUGAAUAUCUGGCAGUGACUGCACCAUGGGAAAGUGAAAACCUUUAAAACAGGAAGUGUCUAGUGUUCCUCUCCUCUAUUAUUUGAUGAAUUAUGAUGCUCAUCAAAAGCCUAAAUCAAUUAAUGAUUUCAUGAAUAGUUUUAUUGUUGACUGACUAGUCACUGAAGCUGAAGUAUUGAUUUGUUAUGUUGCUCUGAUUGGAUGUUUCUUUCUGUUUAAAGUUCCUUGAUUUUAACUGCUGUAACUGUUCUCUUCUACCUGAUUAAAAGUCAAUUAGAAGUUUUCACUCAGAUAAUUUUCAUAAUGCGUUGUCCACACAAGACAUCUGAAAAUAAAAUAGAUUUUGAUAACUUUCAAUACGUUUUGAAGGUGUUUUGAUUUUACAUCAUGUUGUCAUUAGGAAUGACCAAUGGGCCAUAAAGGAAGUUGAGGAAUUUAUAUUUGUAGGUAAUAUUCUGAAUUCCCACCUCAAACUCAAUAAACACAUUAACAAACUCUGUAAGACUGUCCGGACAAACCUGAACUGUUUCAGAAUGAUAUGGCAUCACAUACCUGACAAGGCAGCUUCAUUGUUUUUUCAUGCCAUGAUACUCUCUCUCUUAUCCUACUGUGUUACUGGGGCCAAGCCUCCCAGACAACAGUCAAACCAUCACAUAAUUAUACAAACAGCCACUGAAAAUAAUGGAUCAGAAACCAAUAAUAUGGCACCACUGUUUGAUUGUACAGAAAUACAAGCUUUUCAAUUUUGAUAGCUUUAUGAAGUUCUCCUUUCUUUUUUAAAUGCACAAAUAAUCUAGCUCCAGCCAUACUCUGUCCUUUUGUGACAAAAAACAAUACCAGGAGUGGCCACUGGGGGAGCAGUAGGCAACUGCAGAGC